rnacentral:tRNA from 1 species
GCUGGGGUGUAGCUCAGUGGUAGAGCACUUGCCUAGUGUGCAUGAGGCCCUGGGUUCAACCCCCAGCACCAGUU